rnacentral:rRNA from 1 species
GAUCCUGGCUCAGGAUGAACGCUAGCUACAGGCUUAACACAUGCAAGUCGAGGGGCAGCAUGGCGAUAGCUUGCUAUUGUUGAUGGCGACCGGCGCACGGGUGAGUAACGCGUAUCCAACCUGCCCUUGUCCAUCGGAUAACCCGUCGAAAGGCGGCCUAACACGAUAUGCAGUUCUCAGCAGGCAUCUAACGAGAACGAAAUGUAAGGAGAAGGAUGGGAGUGCG